rnacentral:lncRNA from 1 species
UCCAGUACUGCUGGCUUUGGAAGACCCCAUGGUGCACCACUGACAUCAUGGCUCGGCUGGACUCUGGAAAGCAGGAAAUUGCUGGAGCAUGUUUGGGCAUCAAUGAUGUCACCCGCUACGAAUGCCGGGUGGGGUUACUGGACUGAGGGCCAUGAAAAAAGAAAGCUGCGGCCCUGCCCCGUGGACUCACUGCCAUUCUGUUCUUUCUCACGUUUCAGUUCAGCUCACUUUGUUUUCCGUCCCCCUCCCUCUACUGUAAAAGUAUGUACUCAUUGUUUCAUUUCCUGCUGGAUCUGAUUCAGGUCAGUGAUGAAGUUCUUUGCGAGCUCAGUGGGGAGGCGUUUCCUCCCUUUCAUACCGGCCC